CCCCCUUAGAGUUUGAUCCUGGCUCAAGAUGAACGCUGGCGGCGUGCUUAACACAUGCAAGUCGAACGGGAAAUAUUUCAUUGAGACUUCGGUGGAUUUGAUCUAUUUCUAGUGGCGGACGGGUGAGUAACGCGUGGGUAACCUGCCUUAUACAGGGGGAUAACAGUCAGAAAUGGCUGCUAAUACCGCAUAAGCGCACAGAGCUGCAUGGCUCAGUGUGAAAAACUCCGGUGGUAUAAGAUGGACCCGCGUUGGAUUAGCUUGUUGGUGGGGUAACGGCCCACCAAGGCGACGAUCCAUAGCCGGCCUGAGAGGGUGAACGGCCACAUUGGGACUGAGACACGGCCCAGACUCCUACGGGAGGCAGCAGUGGGGAAUAUUGCACAAUGGGGGAAACCCUGAUGCAGCGACGCCGCGUGAAGGAAGAAGUAUCUCGGUAUGUAAACUUCUAUCAGCAGGGAAGAUAGUGACGGUACCUGACUAAGAAGCCCCGGCUAACUACGUGCCAGCAGCCGCGGUAAUACGUAGGGGGCAAGCGUUAUCCGGAUUUACUGGGUGUAAAGGGAGCGUAGACGGUGUGGCAAGUCUGAUGUGAAAGGCAUGGGCUCAACCUGUGGACUGCAUUGGAAACUGUCAUACUUGAGUGCCGGAGGGGUAAGCGGAAUUCCUAGUGUAGCGGUGAAAUGCGUAGAUAUUAGGAGGAACACCAGUGGCGAAGGCGGCUUACUGGACGGUAACUGACGUUGAGGCUCGAAAGCGUGGGGAGCAAACAAGAUUAGAUACCCUGGUAGUCCACGCCGUAAACG
rnacentral:rRNA from 1 species